rnacentral:rRNA from 1 species
CCUACGGGAGGCAGCAGUGAGGAAUUUUCCGCAAUGGGCGAAAGCCUGACGGAGCAACGCCGCGUGAGGGAUGAAGUCUCUAGGGAUGUAAACCUCUGUUGGGAGGGACGAAGAUCUGACGGUACCUCCUGAGGAAGCCCCGGCUAACUACGUGCCAGCAGCCGCGGUAAU